rnacentral:rRNA from 1 species
CCCUUAGAUGUUCUGGGCCGCACGCGCGCUACACUGAUGAAUUCAACGAGCUCCUAACCUAGGACGAAGGGUCCGGGUAAUCUUUGAAAUUUCAUCGUGAUGGGGAUAGAUUAUUGCAAUUAUUAAUCUUCAACGAGGAAUUCCUAGUAAGCGCGAGUCAUCAGCUCGCGUUGAUUACGUCCCUGCCCUUUGUACACACCGCCCGUCGCUCCUACCGAUUGGUAAGAUAUCUAAGGAGCAUGGACGUCGGCAGACGCGGUUCGCGCCGUGUCUGCGGGCAGAAGCGCCCCGCAGAUUUCUUGCUGGAGGAAGUAAAAGUCGUANCA